AGCUCUAGAGAGGAGGCACCAAUCCUAGGGGGGAGGAAACCUCUGCCGGGAACUCGGGCGGACCAAUCCGCGGCCGAGAACUCGGGAGCGGGGCAACAAUCUUCCGGCAGACCGAGCCUCCGCCGGGCGGACCAAUCCUCGGCCGGGAUCUCGAGCGGACCAAUCCACGGCCGGGGAGUCCGGCCGUGUGUCCGCCCCGCGCACACGGGAUUGGCGGUGGGAACCACCUGCGGGGUGCGAGGCAGCCCGGGUCUCUGCCCCGCGGGGCUGCCGGGGACCAGUUUCUGCCUUCGCAAGCCGGUGGGGCCCAGGGCGGGGAUCCCGGCCGAAGACCGCUGGUGUUGUGUCUGGCCUGCCGGAGGGGAGGUCUCCGCAGGUUGGGGAUCGGCCCCUUUCCUGCUGUCGGGAGCAUCCGCGUGAAGGAGCGGUCAGCCGCCCCCGUUCGCACCCGAGACCCCCGCCGGCAGUACGGACCGCCCUGAGCUUGCCCUGGGAAGGCCGCCCGUGACUGACCCCAGGACCAUGGUGGACCUGCCCUUUGCUGCCCACCCUCACUCCCAUUGACCUCGGUCCCUUUGCACUGGCUUCAUGCAAACCUGCAUGUUUUCAGCACUUGGGAGACCAUUUUGAGACGCCAGUCGGCUCUCUUCCCGCUCUUGGCCUCACUGAAAUAAACCCCUUUCCCGUUUCA